AGAUUUUAUUUUGGAAUUAUUUUGUGACAUAAAUAUGUCUGAAUAAAAACCUUAUCUAAAUAAAAUCUAUAUCAUUUUGCGGAAUGUUGUGCUGGGAUGUAAUGGAUUUUUUUUAAUACUGUUAUUUCAGGAUUCAGACAGUUACAGCAAAGCAGAUGAGAUGAAAGGAAAAAAAAACAGGAAGGUGACCAUGACUCAAAAUACACAUCGUUUGUGGCAGACCAAGAUCAACACACUAUUUCAUAAAAUGACAAAUGUUUCACAUCAUACCCAAGAGAAACAAAUUUGUCAGGUUUUCAAAUAUAGGUAGACUAGAAAAUAAUUCUGAACUUCACAGGUUUAUCUUGAAUCUAUUUUUUUCUACAUUAAGUUUAAAUAUUAAGGCACAAAAACGAAAGGAUUACCAGUGACUGGUAUCUGUUGGGGCUGUAUGUGAAGAUUUUAUCUACUUAUAUAUAAGAUUGCCUAUUAUACAGUUUCUGUCAUUUUACUUGAAGUUUCUACUGAGGUCAUAUGGAUUUCUACCAGCCAUCAUUAUUGAUUUUACUCUCUCACUGAAUUUUGGGCACAUCUCGAUUGAAUAUUAAUACAACAGCAUUUCAAUGUAUGCUAUGCUACCUUUGUACUCUUUCAACAUGGUCGUUUGAUAAUUUUUAUUUUUAAAAUAUCUUCAGGACAAAUUCUAUAUUUUUUCCUCAUGAAGAAAAUGAAACAGUAUUAUAGUGUGACUUGAACAAAUUACAUUUAUUCCAAGCUAUUUAUCAGGAAGCACAUCUGUGAUUUUACCAUUGUAUAUUUAUAACGGUGCAAUAAAUAUUUAUUGAAUGAAUAAAUGACUAUA